UGUAACUAUACAGCAAACUUCAUUUCUGUUGGCUGUUUCAUUUGGAAUUGAUUUCUGAUACUUUUCAGGAUGGAUGUGCUACUUUUACAUGUCAGAAGUUGGUCUGAUAGAGCAGCAAUAUCCAUCGUGAAGAAAAUGGUAUUCCCUCAGCUAAAACAUAGAAACUGACUGUUGCCAGCAGCUUUACCCUGGAUAGAACUUACCAUAGUCUUUACCCUUUAUUAUUUGUAAGAUUCUUGCUGAAGAUCUGUUCUUUCCAUUUGAAUCUGAACAAAGUAUAGUUAAAUUGAUGUUCACAUCUGUUGGGUGCCGGUCCACAGCACAACUGUAAAACAACAAGAGAAAAAAAGAGAAAAUCCAUGAGAAAGUCAAGAUUCCCAUCUCAGCUGUACUUUACCAACUCUCUGCUUCAAGCUCUUUGUGUUC